ACGUAGCUCAGUUGGUAGAGCAUCAGCUUCCCAAGCUGAGGGUCGCCGGUUCGAGCCCGGUCGUCCGCUCUCCA
rnacentral:tRNA from 1 species